UACGUAGGUGGCAAGCGUUGUCCGGAUUUACUGGGCGUAAAGAGCGCGCAGGCGGUCGUUCAAGUCGCGUGUGAAAGCCCCCGGCUCAACUGGGGAGGGUCACGCGAUACUGAUCGACUCGAAGGCAGGAGAGGGUAGUGGAAUUCCCGGUGUAGUGGUGAAAUGCGUAGAUAUCGGGAGGAACACCAGUGGCGAAGGCGGCUUCCUGGACCGACACUGACGCUGAGGCGCGAAAGCUAGGGGAGCAAACGGG
rnacentral:rRNA from 1 species